AUCCCAGAUAACGCCGUUGCAUCUGUACAAAACGACGACAACGAGGAGAUAUCGAGUUGCGUGUUGUUCUUCGCCGCGUUCGGACGUGUGACCGGGUUUGUGUUGAUCGUGCCACGUGCCAUCGGGACUUCGACGCAGCUGGAGUUCAACGAGAGUUCGGCUUCCCGUUGAGCGACGUCGAAUAUCUCCGGGAGCAAAAGCCAGCGUGAACUCGCGGGAUUACGAGAAGGUAGCAGCGUGGGAAAGGAUACGGAUAAUUUGCGCCGAAAUUGAAUGACGCAUUAUCCGAGGCAAAAGACGAUAUUUAGCGCAUUCGUUUGGUUAAUUGAAAACUCCGCGAGCGCGUCUUCCGUGGAAAAGGGGUGCAAGGGAGAUGGGCGCAGCCGUGUACGCCGCGGCUAAGUAUACUAUCACCGGGCGCGCAACUGGCACGGUUAAAACAAUACUCGUGACGAAUGUACGCUUCACGCAGCCCCUUGCGCGCAAUUAAUUAUUCGCAACUAUAGUGAUUAAUGGUGGUAAUUCGGGGGAGCACGGGACUGAAACGGCAGCGCCGAGGGACAGAACGUUACGAGCCGCGGCAACCCUAUUUAAUAUCGCGAUACCGACCCCCUCCGACCAUCGGUCCGGCUUCACGGGGAAAGAAAUCUUCGAAUCCUCUUAAACACCUGUUGUCUCCGCGUCUUUUUUCCCUCCCGUUCAACGCGGUCGCGAUUCUCGUCGUCGCCCC